rnacentral:sRNA from 1 species
AUGUUCCUUCUUCUGGUGCUUCUCACUGGACUUGGUGGGAUGCAUGCAGACCUCAAUCCUCAUAAAAUCUUCCUGCAGACCACAAUUCCAGAGAAGAUUUCAUCAUCGGAUGCAAAAACAGAUCCAGAACAUAAUGUUAUUUACAUGAUUACCAUAGAAGGAAAGCCAUAUUUUGUCCAUCUCAAAAAGCAAUCAAUUUUAUCUUCAGCUUCUGUUAUUAAUUCUUAUGACGAAAAUGACAUCCGUCAUUCCAAACCUCUGCUAGUUCAGAUGGAUUGCAAUUAUAAUGGAUAUGUUGUGGGUAUUCCAAAUUCUCUUGUGACUCUCAGCAUAUGUUCAGGACUCAGGGGAACAAUGCAGCUGAAAAACAUCUCAUAUGGAAUUGAACCGAUAGAGGCUGUAUCAGGAUUUAUACACAAGAUUUAUGAAGAAAAAUAUGCUGACACUAAUAUUCUCUUAGAAGAAAAUGACACUUAUACUUGGUUUAAUUCAGAGUAUCAAGUCAGAAAAAGUUCAGAAGUAGUCUGGUGAUGUAAAGGAUUUUAGCAUCUGUAGCUUGGAUGACUUUAAAUAUAUUUCUUCUCAUAAUGGCCUUACAUGUCUUCAGACAAACCCUCUUGAAAUGCCAACCUACACACACAGGAGAAUAUGUGGCAAUGGGUUGUUGGAAGGAAGUGAAGAAUGUGAGUGUGGCACUAAAGACUUCAAACCGGCUAAUACGAUUUAUAGGAAAUCAGUUGAUAAAGAAUGCGAUUUCACUGACUAUUACAAUGGGGACCUUCCAUACUGUUUGCCUGACACUUAUGUACGUGAUGGAGAAUAUUGUGAUUCAGAUGGAGCCUUCUGUUUUCAAGGAAAGUGUUGGACUUUUGACAAACAAUGUGAUGAUUUAAUUGGAAGAGGUUCAAGAGGUGCUCCAAUUUUCUGUUAUGAUGAAAUUAAUACCAGAGGAGACAAUUUUGGAAACUGUGGCACUGCACAUUGUCUUUUCCAACAUAUUCUAUGUGCAAAAUUAUUCUGUACAUGGGAACACAGAGACUUAAUAUCACGUCCAAAUUUAUCUGUGAUUUAUGCACAUGUAGGAGACCAAACAUGUGUGUCUAUAUACCUACCCAGGAGGACGCCACCUCCAGUAAAUUCACCUAUUUCAAUCACAUCAUAUUAUUCAGCUGAAGACAGAGAUGAAACAUUUGUACAAGAUGGUUCCAUGUGUGGUCCUGAUAUGUAUUGUUUCGAAAUGCAUUGUAAACAUGUUAGAUUCCUGAUGAAUUUAAAAUUGUGUGAUGCUUCUAAUCAUUGUGAUCGUCAUGGAGUUUGUAACAAUUUUAACCAUUGCCAUUGUGAAAAGGGAUAUAAUCCUCCUUACUGCCAACCAAAGCAAGGAGCAUUUGGAAGUAUUGAUGAUGGACACUUAGUACCACCAACUG